rnacentral:lncRNA from 1 species
CUCUGUUGUGUGUCACACCCAAAAGGUCCGUGUAGCAAUACAAGCAGCUGCAAAUAUCCGUUUUUUGCGCGCCUUCGCGAGCGGUAGUAGUGCGCAAUGGUCUGAAGGUUUGUAUGUAAAACAGAUUAUUUAUUUAUGUUCGUAUAUUUGUCUUUAUAUGAACAAAUUCGAAUCUGUACAAGGUCUCGCUAAUUGGCAUGUCACACCAAGAUGCGCGGCUACUGAAAUCACGCGCAGCCCCUAAAGAAAACGCAGGCUUUCAGCGUCCAUAGUGACGGCCGUGACACGGACGGGUCUCUCCCGCUUAAGUAAAUAUAAGUCUCUCCACAGAGGCAGAAGCAACCAUUGUAAACUUUGUUGAGAGGAACGACAGGUGCAGCAAAGACAAAGUAGCGUCUGGAGCUCGUGACUAUGAAACGGGGCUCGACAAAAACAGCAUGUGUGCAGUGCAAAACAGCCUUACACGUGGCAAAAAAGACAUGUCCAGUGUGCCAGACGUGUCAACCUAGAAAUGUCAGACAGAAAAAAAAAUUGGACACAUUUAGAAUGAAAAAGGAACAUUGGGUUAGCCAAAGGAAAAAAAACCUAACAACAACACAUGUACUUGAUGAAGCGUCCUUAUGGGUUGAAAAGUUGAACGCCCUGGGGUACAGAGGUCUAAUUUUGCUCGCCAAGCCCAUCAGAAAGAAAUCUGGGUGGAAGGCAUCCAUUAUCCACCCACAGUGGGAAAUGUCUGAGCAGGCGGACAAGUGCCUUGACAGGAUGAAAGCCCUGUUUAAGGUUGUGGUAGAUAUUUGUGCAACAAAGAAGAAGAAAAAAAGGAAAAACUUGCAAGCUGCCCGCACUGCUCCAUCUUCCAGCACGAUGGUGGUGACUGAAUCAGAAUGCAAGCACAAUUACGACGGAGAGUACUACCCUGUCAAAAGAGUUGUGAAGCGGAAAAAAGUGAAGGUAUAAUAACAAUUUGUACCACUACUCAGGCCAGGGGUGUG